rnacentral:rRNA from 1 species
GACGAACGCUGGCGGCGUGCUUAACACGUGCAAGUCGAACGCGCCUGUCCUCUGGGUUUCUGGGGGGUGGGUGAGUGGCGCACGGGUGAGUAACACGCGAGUAACCUGCCCCCUUCUUCGGGAUAACGGUCUGAAAGGGCUGCUAAUACCGGGUAUUCACUGGUCUCCGCAUGGGGUCUGGUGGAAAGGUUUUUUUCUGGUUGGGGAUGGGCUCGCGGCCUAUCAGCUUGUUGGUGGGGUGAUGGCCCACCAAGGCUUUGACGGGUAGCCGGCCUGAGAGGGUGACCGGUCACAUUGGGACUGAGAUACGGCCCAGACUCAUACGGGAGGCAGCAGUGGGGAAUAUUGCACAAUGGGCGCAAGCCUGAUGCAGCGACGCCGCGUGAGGGAUGGAGGCCUUCGGGUUGUGAACCUCUUUCGCCCGUGGUCAAGCCGCGACGUGGGUCGUGGUGAGGGUAGUGGGUAAAGAAGCGCCGGCUAACUACGUG